GGGAGUCUUGACAAGCUAAAAAGGACUUAUUUUAGAGCGUUAACAUGAGGCCAUGGUUCUGGUGUUUGGUUCUCAUAAGCAUGGUGGUGCUAAGGGCUACUGAUGCGACUAAUCUAAGUCGCGAUAUAUUUCAUAUGUGCAAGCUGUCCAAAGUCCCGCCCCCAGGUUGUCCUAAAACAGGGGUCCCUCUGAGACCUCCAGGCCCUCCGAAAGAAGCAAAUCCCCACACUCACGUUUGCAACAAGACUCUUCAUUGUCGCGGCUAACAUAGGACCGGUACUUAAUCAAGCCAACAAAAUUAAUACUAUGUUUGGCAAUAGAAGAUUUCCAAUGCAAACAUGUUUUAACCCAAAUAUCUUUUUCCCUUUCCUUAAAGAAAAUCUCCCCCUAAUUGUUAGUGGCACAUGAAGGAGCAUUAUGUUUUGUAUGGUGUUUGAAAGGGUAUGUUCGAAAGGAGCAGUAACUUAAGUGGAACAAGAAGGUAUUUUUGAAAAGACAUUAUCUAGGCCCACGAACUUUAUGUUGUUUCAAUGUUUUUCUUCCAAA